CAGCAGCUCACAGGAGGUGGCUUUGGAAGUAAGUAGACUAAGUGCCCCCUGCUAACAGCUUUCGGAUUCGAUUUUUAAAAAUCAGGUUUAUCAGGUGUCAUUGACAUUGUCAUUGACACCCACCACCUUAAUGCAUACAGGUCAGCGGGUCUCGACAAUCACGUAACCAACAACAACACAAUAGAGGUCAUUUCCAUGAUCCCCAAAAGAUCCCUCGUGCCCCUUGCCAAGACCUCCCUGCCCUGCUUUCUAUUAUUCUAUCUUGUCAUUUCUGAAAUUUCACACAAAUGGAAUCACAGCGUAUAUGGUCUUUUGUGUCUGGCUUUUUUCCCCAGAGUAUCAGGCUGUUGGUAUUCAUUGAUCUUGAUGCGUACAUCACAGCUUUGUCCUUUUUAUGACCGAGUAGUCGUCUCUUCUACGGAUAGACCACAGUUGCUGAUCCUUUCACAAACUGAUGGACAUUAGGGCUGCUCCGGGUUUAGAGUUAUUAAAACAAAGCUGUGACAGACGUUCCAGCGUUAAGGCUCACGUGAACCUGUGUUUCAUUGCUCAUGCGUAGAGGUCUAAGAGUAGGGGACUGAAUCCUACGGUGUUUAACUUUAGAAGGAAACUGUUUUCCAAAGUGGUUGUACCCUUUUACAUCCAGUGUAUCAGGAAGUUGACGGGCGAAGGUUCUGGGUCCAUACUGGCUCCAAGACUCCAGGUCUGUGAACGUGAGGGCGGGGCUGGGGGAGCAGGAGGGGAUCUAAAUGCAGUCAUAGCCUCUGGGCUGGUUCUUAAACUGUCUCCUCUCCACUUCAGACCUACCCUUCUAUGCUCAGCUUUUGGGAGCUGGUGUUGGGUCUCUAAACCACAUUUGCUGUUUGGCAGACUGAUUCCCAUUCAUUCCUGCCAAUAGUAGCUCCUCCCAGGAGACCAGAAGGAUGGAGAGGAGGAAGGCAUUCACUCCUUGCUGUUUGCUCCUUGUACCCAACAGCACUGCCCUGGAGCUAGCCCGCUAGGACACAAGUCCAGCCCCUGGGUAGGGCGUCCCCAGGGAAGCAGGACCAUCAGGCAGGAGGAGCCCGUGCUGGGAGCAGAAGCUCAUCAAUGACUCUUUGAAGGCUGGGGGUGGCUUCUAGCUCUAGCUCUCAUGGAUUGGGGGACCCUAACCGUAAGAGCUGGCUUCUAGACUUCCGAGCCCUUCCCGCUGAGGAAAGGGAACCCAUCAUGGUAUGUAAUAAGUUCAGGGAAGAGCUUCCUCCGUCCCAGCCCACAAGGAGCACUAACUAACUGCCCAGCAUGCCCCGGAGCCCGGAACCACACACCCCGGACCCGGAGGGCUUUGCAACAGGAGCUCAAGUCCGUGUUUGCAGUUUGCUGAUGCCCCGUGAGGCCCACACCCUGUCUGCUCGGCCAACCCCUGUUUCUCCUGAAAGACUAUGCACCAUCCCCUGGAAAGGCGUUCUAAGAUUGAAAGGUGUUGUCUGCCCGGCACAC